rnacentral:pre_miRNA from 1 species
UGGUAAGUCAGUCUGUUUUUAAGCAGGAAAAGUUACUCUAAAAAAAAAUGCAUCCCUGAUUUCCUUUCAAAUCAGGCUCCUUAU